AGUGCUCGAGUUCUUAAAGCUCGGUACUACCCAAAUACUGAUUUGCUAAAUGCCACGUUGGGAAAUGCCCCUUCCCAGGGGCUUAUCAAGAGGAUCGGUACCGGUGCAAGCACAAGUGUUUGGCAGGAUAACUGGCUGCCAAGGGAUUACAAGUUGAGGCCCAUCUGUGCCCUUUCAACGAACCCUCCAUUGAUGGUUUCAGACCUUAUCAAUCCUAUCACUUGGACAUGGAACAAGCAAGUCCUAGCUAACCACUUCAUUCCUGCUGAUGUUGAGGUUAUUCUCAAUAUACCACUCAGCACAAGGCAACAUGAGGACUUCUGGGCUUGGCAUUAUGAUAAGCGAGGUAUUUUUUCGGCAAGGUCAGCAUACAGGAUGAUUUGUGCUAUCAAAACUCAAAGAGAAGAUUGGCUAGAACACCGGCCAGGCCAUUCUAAUAUUACUACCGACAAGAACUCAUGGACCCAGUUGUGGAAGGUCAAGGUACCUUAAAAAAUCUGAGUUUUUGUGUGGCGUUUGGCGCAUACAUCAAUUCCAACAGGUUUUGUUAGACAUGAAAGGCAUAUGGCAGAUUCUCCAUCCUGCUCUAUCUGUGGUGCGGAGGAGGACACUUGGCGCCAUUCUCUACUCAGUUGUCGCAUGGCAAGAUGUGUUUGGGCUUUGGAAGAUGAUGAG
rnacentral:rRNA from 1 species